rnacentral:lncRNA from 1 species
UCAGAGUUUACAUAACCAAAAGAUAUCACAUGAAAUAACAUAAUAUGUUUUAGGAAACAUUUAUUUUAAAUAGAUUCAACGCGCCCAUUCGACUCUCCACGCGCCUCCGAUAUCAAUCACCUGAAACUGUUGAAUAUGGGAUGAGCAUACAGGGUACACUCAGUGUGGGAACAUGCAAUAAUUGUCCAUGUUAAUAAAAUGGUAACACAUAUUGUCAUAACGUAACAUAACUUCCAUACGCACUGUGGCAACUCCAAGGACUUUAAUGUCCCGGACCCUAUAUAUGGAUCCCUG